rnacentral:lncRNA from 1 species
AUGAAGCUGUUAUGUUUUUGCAGUGACAAGAACAAUGCGGUUGCUGAAGUCUCAUACACUGAGCCGUGCACAGAGAACACACAAACCACACUGAUUGCUUCCCCCCCACUUCAAUGCUUUAAGUGCCUGCUCUGGAAUGCCUCCUUAAAAAGGAAGGAAUCAACAGUUUGUAAGGGAAAGGAGCAGAAGAGCAGCUGUAGGACAGGACCUCUCAAAGAAGAGCACCACGAUCCGUCAGAGCAUGAGACACUUGAGAGCACAAACUACUUCAGGCUGAACAGAAGUGUAAAAGCUGCACCAGACAGUUAUUUCCCAGUAAGAUGAGCUUUGUCCUACCUCACAGUAAACACCACAUGAAUCGCACCAUGCUUCACUCAAGGACUACCUCCAGGCAAAACCUCAUUGCUGAGGCACCCCGAAGUACCCAUCCUACUGUUCCCAUUUUCCCAGUGAGGGACACCAAGCCACCCCUUUGGAUGGAUGCCUUUCACGUAUCCAAAUCAGAGGUGAGGAGGAGGAUAUAGAUGCAGAUAGGGGCUGUUGGUGGGCAGGGGAGCUCCCGCAGGACCCCUUUGCCCUGAACUUGUAAGCAGCCUUUGGGCUUCUCAUUUGUGCACAGCCUCCCUUCCCUGGCAACAGGAAGAUGGCUUUGAUCCAUUUACCCAAAUGGAUUUCUGUUGUUCUCAACUGACCUUUUCAUACCAAAGUCUCUUGCUAAGGGAAGUGAUUUUUUUUCUUGCCUCCAUUUGACAUAACUGCAGCUCUCUGCGGACUCACACAAUUUCAUCUAACAUUGACCAUCGCUUCCUGAAGUCUUUCCAUCUGUUUCCAUCUGUAGAGAUGUUUCUCUCCCACAAACCACAGCUAAAUGCUGGCAAACUACAGGCCAAAUCCUUCAGGAUGCUCACUCACCAUGUCUUUCAUUUCUUGCUGUCA